ACUUAUAUAGUUUAACUUAAAACUCUUCAUUUUCAAUGAAAAAAUGAACUCUGUUCUGUAAGUU
rnacentral:tRNA from 1 species